GUAGGGAAUAUUGCACAAUGGGGGAAACCCUGAUGCAGCGACGCCGCGUGAGUGAUGAAGUAUUUCGGUACGUAAAACUCUAUCAGCAGGGAAGAUAAUGACGGUACCUGACUAAGAAGCCCCGGCUAACUACGUGCCAGCAGCCGCGGUAAUACGUAGGGGGCAAGCGUUAUCCGGAUUUACUGGGUGUAAAGGGAGUGUAGGUGGUCUGGCAAGUCAGAUGUGAAAGCCCGUGGCUCAACUGCGGGACUGCAUUUGAAACUGUCAGACUGGAGUGCAGGAGAGGAAAGUGGAAUUCCUAGUGUAGCGGUGAAAUGCGUAGAUAUUAGGAAGAACACCAGUGGCGAAGGCGGCUUUCUGGACUGUAACUGACACUGAGGCUCGAAAGCGUGGGGAGCAAACAGGAUUAGAAACCCUAGUAGUCC
rnacentral:rRNA from 1 species